UCGGCCUUUUGGCUAAGAUCAAG
rnacentral:piRNA from 3 species